GCCGGGCGUGGUGGUGGGCGCCUGUAGUCCCAGCUACUCAGGAGGCUGAGGCAGGAGAAUCGCUUGAACCCAGGAGGCGGAGGUUGCAGUAAGCCGAGAUCAUGCCACUGCACUCCAGCCUGGGUGACAGAGCGAGACUCUGUCUCAA
rnacentral:SRP_RNA from 1 species